rnacentral:pre_miRNA from 1 species
CAGUUACUCAAAAUCCAAACACACAGAAAAUUACACUCACACAGCGCUGUGUGAGUGUAAUUUUCUGUGUGUUUGGAUUUUGAGUAAAAUUCUACCUG